rnacentral:rRNA from 1 species
AUUGAACGCUGGCGGCAUGCCUUACACAUGCAAGUCGAACGGUAACGGGCCUUCGGGUGCCGACGAGUGGCGAACGGGUGAGUAACAUAUCGGAACGUACCUUUCAGUGGGGGAUAACGUAGCGAAAGUUACGCUAAUACCGCAUAUUCUGUGCGCAGGAAAGCAGGGGACCUUCGGUCCUUGCGCUGAUGGAGCGGCCGAUAUCAGAUUAGCUAGUUGGUGAGGUAAAGGCUCACCAAGGCGACGAUCUGGAGCGGGUCUGAGAGGAUGAUCCGCCACACUGGAACUGAGACACGGUCCAGACUCCUACGGGAGGCAGCAGUGGGGAAUUUUGGACAAUGGGGACAACCCUGAUCCAGCCAUGCCGCGUGAGUGAAGAAGGCCUUCGGGUUGUAAAGCUCUUUCGGCCGGGAAGAAAUCGUAUGGGCUAAUACCCUGUGCGGAUGACGGUACCGGCAUAAGAAGCACCGGCUAACUACGUGCCAGCAGCCGCGGUAACAC